GCCCAGGCAUAGUGGUGCAUGCUUGUAAUCCCACUGGUUUGGAGGCUGAGGCAGGAGGAUCUUGAGUUCAGAGCCAGCCUCAGCAAAAGUGAGGCACUAAACAACUCAGCCAGAUCCUGUCUCUA
rnacentral:sRNA from 1 species